rnacentral:rRNA from 1 species
ACGACGCUGGCGGCGCGUUUUAGCAUGCAAGUCGAACGGUAGAAAGUCUUCGGACUUUUGAGAGUGGCGAACGGGUGAGUAACACGUAGGUAAUCUGCCUUUGCGUUGGGGAUAGCCCAUGGAAACAUGGGGUAAUACCGAAUACGAUCUUGGAGAUAUGAGGUUUUCAAGAGGAAAAGUGCUACGGCACUGCGCGAAGAUGAGCCUGCGGCUCAUUAGCUAGUUGGUGGGGUAAAGGCCUACCAAGGCAACGAUGAGUAGCCGGCCUGAGAGGGUGACCGGCCACACUGGGACUGAGACACGGCCCAGACUCCUACGGGAGGCAGCAGCUAAGAAUCUUCCGCAAUGGGCGAAAGCCUGACGGAGCGACGCCGCGUGAACGAAGAAGGCCGUGAGGUUGUAAAGUUCUUUUCUUGGGGAGGAAUAAGGCUUGUAGGGAAUGACAGGCCGAUGACGUUAACCGAGGAAUAAGCCCCGGCUAAUUACGUGCCAGCCGCCGCGGUAAUACAAGCCGAAUUCCAA